UCGGGGGUCGUCUAGUUGGUCUAGGACACCACACUUUGGAUGUGGGAACGGAGGUUCAAGUCCUCCCCCCCGAG
rnacentral:tRNA from 1 species